rnacentral:rRNA from 1 species
GGAUGUUGGCUUAGAAGCAGCCAUACAUUUAAAGAGUGCGUAACAGCUCACUAGUCGAGAAAACCUGCGCCGAAAAUUUAACGGGGCUAAAACACGACACCGAAGCUACGGCUUGACAGCUAACGCUGUUAGGGGUAGAGGAGCAUCCUGCAAGGACGAAGCCAAAGUGGAAACGAUGGUGGACGAAACAGGAGAGAGAAUGCCGGAAUGAGUAGCGAGAUAGAAGUAAGAAACUUCUAGGCCGAAUAUCUAAGGUUUCCUGGGUAAAGCUAAUCUUCCCAGGGUUAGUCGGGGCCUAAGGCGAGGACGAAAGUCGUAGUCGAUGGAUAACAGGUUGAUAUUCUUGUACUACGUAUCAUCAGAACUGUGGGGACGCAGGAGGAUAGGAAAACCGGGGAAUGGAAAAACCCGGCUAAGCACAAAGUCAAGGGAGAUAGGCAAAUCCGUCUCUUGAUGAUGAAGUGCGAUGGGGACUGAACAAAAGUAGGGAAGUUUCCGAAUCCACACUGUCGAGAAAAGCCGCUAUUGUGUGAUACGUACCCGUACCGUAAACCGACACAGGUAGAUGAGGAGAAAAUCCACAGGCCGACGGGAGAAGUGUUGUUAAGGAACUCGGCAAAAUGACCCCGUAACUUAGGGAGAAGGGGAGCCACGCAAGUGGCCGCAGAAAAGAGGCUCAAGCGACUGUUUAGCAAAAACACAGGUCUCUGCGAAACCGAAAGGUGAAGUAUAGGGGCUGACACCUGCCCGGUGCUGGAAGGUUAAAAGGAGAGGUUCGACGUAAGUCAAAGCUUUGAAUUCAAGCCCCAGUAAACGGCGGCCGUAACUAUAACGGUCCUAAGGUAGCGAAAUUCCUUGUCAGGUAAGUUCUGACCCGCACGAAAGGUGUAACGAUUUGAGCACUGUCUCGACAACACGCCCGGUGAAAUUGAAGAACCAGUGAAGAUACUGGUUACCCGCAACAGGACGGAAAGACCCCAUGGAGCUUUACUGCAGCCUGAUACUGGGAUUCGAUGAUAUAUGUACAGGAUAGGAGGGAGACUAGGAAUCCGGGACGCCAGUUUCGGAGGAGUCGACGGUGGGAUACCUCUCUUAUGUUAUUGGAUUUCUAACUUGGCACCGUGAUCCGGUGUGAGGACAAUGUCAGGCGGGCAGUUUGACUGGGGCGGUCGCCUCCUAAAAGGUAACGGA